AUGAAGUCUACCAAGGAAUCCAGCAAAGCCAUCAUAUCUCCUUCUGAAUUUAGUUUUCGGUUGCCUGACUGCUCAGCACCCCUACAAAAAAAACAGGAAGUCCUACCAAAGAUUAAAAAAGAAACAGAGUCGCCAGAGAAGCAAACAACACAAGACCAUGUCCUUGUCGGUCACACUGAAGCAUCCACCCUGCCAGAGGCUGCACAAAACCUACCACCUGUUCUACGGCCUGAGCUGGCCUAUCUGCAGGUGCUUCUCAACUUUGCAGGAGUGGCCACUAUGCUGGUUGAAAAGGCACCAUGCAUGCAGGAAGCUAUGGACUCAGCACUCCGGGCCAACCUGAGGAGGAUUGGAGACUACUAUGGAUGCAUGUUAAGCAAUUAUAUUGACAGUUUGGCAGAAACCAGCUAAGAGGGGAUACAGUGGGAAGAUCUGAUUGAUAUCACCUUGGCCUGUUGCAUUCUUUUUGGACUUGUCAAUGAAUGGGGGGAACUGGAAAAAGCCUCUUUUCAGCAACAGGGAUGUGAAACCUCUGGGAAAUAUGUAUUUAGCCUACAGCAGCAACAGGAUGCAGAAGCAAUAACUGAAAGAGCUGCAAGUUUGACUUGGCUGUACUUCUGAAAAAGGGCUUGUGAUGGAACAGCCGAGGAACCCUCCUGGUCAGAUUACUUUGGCAAGUGUGUACCCAGAGGCUUCUCCAGAAAUUUAACUCAGGGAAUAAGUGGGUAAACUUCAUUUUGGCACACAGCUCUGUGAAAUAAACUGUUACACAGGUUUGCCUUUGAUCUUGUA
rnacentral:lncRNA from 1 species